GGCUGGUGCUGCAGUGAUGGCUGCCUGCUGAAUUUCAGCCCCUGCUCCAGGAGGGGGGUAAAAUACCCUUUGGCACAAUGAAGAUGGCCACGGUCAAACAGAUGCUACUCAUUCUGCUUUGUUGCUCCAUGGAGAAAAAUGGAGGGGAAAGGCUUUUGCUGAAGCACUGGCUCUCCCAGGUGUGUGUGGGGAGAUAACAGCCUGCCGAGGGGGGUAAGCACUGCUGUCAGCAAAAUGCAUGGUGUGGAGAUGGAGGAAGAGUUGCACCUCCUGGCUCUGGGCAGUGCAAAUCACCCAGAGCUGCAGCACAGCAGUAUCCUCCACCAGGAUGGCUUCACCCGGACACACCUGCUUACCUGCUGUCACAUCCUAUUCAGCCCAUCAGGCUCUGCCUGGUGCUUUCAGGGUGCCUUCCCAUGUGCAGUGCUGCAAUAACCAGCCAGGAGCAGUGGCAUUGGUUUGGCCUUUCGUGCUUCAGUAUGAUGGAUGAAGAUGCUGAUAAAUAGCUGCCUCUAUGGGAGAGUGCUCUGAGUCCCCAGCUCUCAUACCUGGCUGUAGGAAUUGUCUUCCUGCUCACCUGUUAAAGGCUUCUGGAUCAUUGGAUGCUGUGCCCAGGGCAAAAGCCGUGCCCUGUGCACAAUAGGGGCUGGGGAUUUCCUGCUCCGCUGCUAUGAAAAACACUCCUCCUGCGGGACCAACAGCUGCAGUGAGGGGGCAAUGAAUGCAUAUCCCACAGGAGAGGGAAACAGUGGAAUAUCCUCAUCCAAGACAUGUCUGGGAAAGGAAAGAUUUCUUGAAGGAUUUUGGAUUUGGAAGAGCAGCACCUGAGCUCCUGGAGGCCCCAGCGGCUGCCAUGGGGAGCGGCACACAUCUGGGUGAGCAUCACACGGGGCUGUCGCGGCGCAUCCCACACCGCCCUCCCACCCGCUGCCUCCAGUGCUGAUCGGCGCUGCCCUGCAGAGCGCUUUGCUAUGCGAGAUGGAUGUGAGCUCCGUCUGGAAGGAUUAGCCUUUAAAAAGCACGGAGAGCGGAGCUUUGCUAAUGGGGAUCGUUGCGUCUCAGCCGCCCUUCCUUCCAGGGGAGGCGUGCGAAGUUCUCUUCCACCUGACAUCCCUCUGAGCGUUUAAACCCAACGAGUCCCAGGUCAACAGCAAACCUCCCACCGGCUCCGUAGGGUUGGGGCUGUGCCUCAGCCUCUCUGCUAACAAGAAGAGACAAGCUGAAGUGAGCGCUCAGACAGCAACCAUCAGGAUUUCACAGCGU
ensembl:lncRNA